rnacentral:misc_RNA from 1 species
CUGCUGACGACGGCUGACUCUGACAUGUAAACAACAAGAUGGUGAGUGACACGAAGGCAGUUAAGGGGGAAAAUGUUGCCAAAAAGGAGCCUCCGAACAGUAACCCUUUGUCCAGGAAGAUUAAUAAGAUCCUGGAAACACGUCUGGAAAAUGACAAGGACACAGUGGACGCCCUCAAGGAACUGUCAACUUUCUUCACAGACAACACACUCAGGAGCCGCAGGAACCUGAGAGGGGAGAUUGAGAAGCGGAGUGUUGGGAUCAGUGAAGAAUUUGUCACAGCACUGAGGGAUGUGAAGAAGGCAGUGGAUGACAUACACCAGGAAGUGAGUGCCAUGAAUGAAGUGUGUGUGGACAUGAAAUCUCGACUCCAGGCCACAAAAUCAGAGACUCGACACCUCAUCCACCAGACAACUUCACUCCAGAACCAGAGCAACAAGCUACACAUGCAGGAGACAGUAGCCGAGGCAUUUGUGAGGUGCUUCCAGUUGACACCAGAUGAGGUAGCUAUCAUCAAGGGAUCCAGCAGAGAAUCUCCCAUCACACCAGAGUUCUUUACCGUCCUGGACAAGACACAGAAGAUACGCAGCAACACCAAGUUCCUCCUGCAGACGGGCCACCAGAAGACUGCCUUGGACGUCAUGGAGCAGAUGAAUGUGUGCCGCGAAGCAGGUCUGGAGAGGCUGUACCGCUGGUGUCAGGGCCAGUGUCGCUCCCCAGAUCCAUCACCUCUACUCACACAAGCCUUAGCAGCCCUGCAGGAGAGACCGGUGCUCUUCAACCUGGUAGUGGAAGAGUGGGUGGUGGUGAGACGAGGGUGGCUGGUGAGAGGCUUUCUGGAUGCUCUCACCAUAGGAGGCCCUGGAGGAGCACCACGACCCAUAGAACUGCAGGCACACGACCCCCUGCGUUAUGUGGGGGACAUGCUGGCUUGGGUGCAUCAGGCUCUCCCUUCUGAACGUGAGGCUGCACAGUCACUCUUUGCUAAGUGCUCCAAUCUAGAUCCAACAGAGCAGACAAGGAGUACUGUGGCCAGCGUAUCUGAGAGUGUUUGCCGUCCACUCAGAACCAGAAUUGAGCAGAUGAUUGUGACAGACCAGCGUCGGGAGGGAGGCAAGAAACCCGUCAUGCUGUACAAGAUUAGCAACCUCCUCAGAUUCUAUCACAACACUAUUUUGCAGGUGACUGAUGCAGGAUUGCUGGUGGCCACCCUUGAUGAACUCCACCAGCUGAGCUACAAGAUGUUUAUAUCAGCACUGCAGAGUCAGGUGAGCCAUGUGAGUGAGAGAAUAGAGCCACCAGGAGAGACACUGGCACCCACGCCUGGUGUGGCACGCACCCUGAGUUUGCUCACUGAGGUGGUCACUGCUGCCACUGUGGCUGAUGAUGCACAGCACGAUUUUAAGCAGAUUGUGAGUUGUGUGGUGGACCCUCUGAUGAAUGCGAUAAGUGAGAGUGCAACUGGACUGGGUGCGGUGGAGUCUGCCGUGUAUCUGCUCAACUGUUUCCACCAGCUGCAUUCCACACUCUCCCUCCUGCACACCACUGGGGACAAAUUAGAGAUGAUUCAAGGACAGAUUGAUGCGCAGCUGGACACACUUAGCCAGGAACAGAUCAAUGGGGUGUGUCAUAGCAUGGGAGUGGCCACCAUGUACCCGCUGAUCACCAACCCACCCACCACGCCUCUCUCCCAGCACCCAUCAUGUCAGCCUCUGGCCAUACAGGCAUUCAUGACCAAGCUGGAUGGCUUCCUGGCUGCCCCUGACCAUCUCAUGCUGCCCCACACGAGGCUGCUACUUUCCUCCUCCUUCAGACGAUCCCUGCAGCAGCGCACAGCAGAAGCAGUGUGCACAGUUUACAAGCAACUGCAUGAUAUAGUUCAUGACCCAACCCAUGCCUAUACAGACCCCAGCUCCCUCUUACCCAGAGACCCUGAGACUGUGAAAACCCUCCUCUCCUAGCAGGAAUGCUCUUAGCUAAGUCACUGUUAUUGAUUUGUUGAAGGUUUCAUCUUGUGAGAAGUAGUGAUAGAAUGCAGUGUGUGUGUGUGUGUGUUGGGGGGGUGAGUGUAGCUUUAGUUGGGUCAGUCUUUCGUCUUGUAGUUUGAAUAUAUUUCUUCUCUUACUUGAUGUAGUUUGAAGUUAUGUCGAUCUAGAUUUCGAUCAAUUUUUUUGUGAAAUCUGUUUUAUAUGUAUCUCUCUUGUUUUGUUUGUUUGGUGGUAAUUCCAUUGGGAGUUAAAUGGUGUAUUUGUUUAUAUAAAAUGUUAUCACAUCUGA